GAAUGUGAGGGCGAUCUGGCUGCGACAUCUGUCACCCCAUUGAUCGCCAGGGUUGAUUCAGCUGAUCUGGCUGGCUAGGCGGGUGUCCCCUUCCUCCCUCACCGCUCCAUGUGCAUCCCUUCUGAAGCUGCGUGCUCAGUUGAAGAGUACGGCCUUCCCCAAAGAGAGAUGGAUCGUCUUUGGUCGAGGGUAUAUGAGUAGUUGUGCUCCCCUGAAAGAACCUCCAAACAAGCUCUCAAAUUUUCUUCAUCCUAAUUGGUAAAUCACUGACAUUUCCCAGCAUAUACCAGUAAUUAUAAACUAAUCCUUUCAUUAAAUUUAAUCUUUCCUUG
ensembl:misc_RNA 7SK 7SK RNA